UACGGAGGGUGCGAGCGUUGUUCGGAAUCACUGGGCGUAAAGCGCGUGUAGGCGGUCCACUAAGUCUGGUGUGAAAGCCCGGGGCUCACCCCCGGAAGUGCACUGGAAACUGGUGGACUCGAGUCCCGGAGAGGAGAGUAGAAUUCCUGGUGUAGCGGUGAAAUGCGUAGAGAUCAGGAGGAAUACCGGUGGCGAAGGCGGCUCUCUGGACGGUGACUGACGCUGAGACGCGAAAGAGUGGGGAGCAAACAGG
rnacentral:rRNA from 1 species